rnacentral:rRNA from 1 species
AUUGAACGCUGGCGGCAGGCCUAACACAUGCAAGUCGAGCGGCAGCGGGAAAGUAGCUUGCUACUUUUGCCGGCGAGCGGCGGACGGGUGAGUAAUGCCUGGGGAUCUGCCCAGUCGAGGGGGAUAACCACUGGAAACGGUAGCUAAUACCGCAUACGCCCUACGGGGGAAAGCAGGGGACCUUCGGGCCUUGCGCGAUUGGAUGAACCCAGGUGGGAUUAGCUAGUUGGUGAGGUAACGGCUCACCAAGGGGACGAUCCCUAGCUGGUCUGAGAGGAGGAUCAGCCACACUGGAACUGAGACACGGUCCAGAUUCCUACGGGAGGCAGCAGUGGGGAAUAUUGCACAAUGGGGGAAACCCUGAUGCAGCCAUGCCGCGUGUGUGAAGAAGGCCUUCGGGUUGUAAAGCACUUUCAGCGAGGAGGAAAGGUCAGUAGCUAAUAUCUGCUGGCUGUGACGUUACUCGCAGAAGAAGCACCGGCUAACUCCGUGCCAGCCGCCGCCGUAA